rnacentral:misc_RNA from 1 species
AAAAAAAAAAAAAAAAAAAGCUUUACAAUUAGAAAGCAAGUUGCAUUUUUUUAACUCUUCAUUCAAAUGAAGCAUCAAGGAAGCAGCCAAAGAAGAAAGAAGAGAUCCAUUAUCAGUAUUAUUGCCCCUAUGCCUCUCUUUCUUUGUUUUUUUACUACUAAUUUAUUACUUCCAAGGAAGUGAGGUCCAGUCCACCAUCUUCAAAAAUUAUUCCAAGAAAAAUAUAUGUUUAUUUUUAUAUUUAUGCAGAUUUAAUCCACUGCUGAGAAUUCGACGGUUCACUGUUUCCUGAUGACCCCGCUGCAGCGAAGUUCAGCGAUCCAUUGGUGAUUCAACGUUACCAAUCUAUUAUAUGGACGCCCCUUGUAUGAGUGGCGUCUGCCUCUGUGAACGCUAAGUCCAUUUUUUGGCUUUUUCUAAGUCCUUCAAGUAAAUUUCUCUUGCAGAGUUUAUCAAUUUCAUCUUCACCGCACUACACCCCUUCUUUCUCUAUCGUAAUCUUGACCUAGACAACGAUGUCCAAUCCGGCCGAAUCUGCAGCUUUUCCGACGGAAUAUUCUAUCCCGGUGGGUGGCGCCGACCCUCAUGUUCCUCUCCUGAAUCUCUCCACGGUGCGAGUGAGAAUGGAUUAUCUGCAGCAGUUCCUGUCAGAAUCGGUCAACAACAAUACUUUAAUCAGCAAAGCUCAGAUGGAUAUGGUCUCCGCUGAGAUCUCCUCCGCUAUCCACCAGAUUAUAGUCAAUGGCGCUGCACUUCUCGCGUGUUCCCAACAGGUGAUCGAGCUUCCCGCUGCCGCUAAGCCCCCGGAGAUACUUUCAGAUCCACCUGAUCUGAAAUUUGCAACUAAAACCUCUAAUUCGUCGGACAGUAGCUCCAAUAAAGGAAAUCAGGGGGCAGAGUUCCGUUUAAAAGUGGAAGAAAGGGAUGAUUUUGAUGUUGACUAUGACAUAGUGGAGCUUGAUGCGGUGGAAUUGCUGGCGGAGCACGUUCAUUUCUGCGAGAUAUGUGGCAAAGGGUUCAAGCGAGACGCUAAUCUGCGCAUGCACAUGCGGGCCCAUGGAAACCAGUUCAAAACUCCCGAGGCGCUAGCCAAGCCCGAUAAGGGAAGCGAAUCAUCGGCGGCGGCGACGAGGAAAACGCGGUUCUCGUGUCCCUUCGAGGGGUGUAAUCGAAACAAGAAGCACAAGAAGUUCCGGCCACUUAAAUCGGUGAUUUGCGUGAGGAAUCAUUUCAAGAGGAGCCAUUGUCCCAAGAUGUACUCUUGCAAUCGUUGCAACAAGAAGAGUUUCUCUGUUGUGGCGGAUUUGAAGAGCCACUUAAAGCACUGUGGAGAGACAAGGUGGAAGUGCUCGUGCGGUACUACUUUCUCUAGGAAAGACAAGUUGUUUGGGCACUUGGCGUUGUUUGAAGGCCACAUGCCAGCUGUUGUUGGGGAAGAUGACAAUAGGGCCAAGGGCGGCGUCAUAGCUAUGGAGGAGGAUGAACAGGAGGAAGUGCUGGUGAAAGAAGGGGAAUUACUGGGUAAUUGUGCGGAUAAUGGGUUUUUUGAGGGAUUGCUUGAUGGGUUUGCUUCUAUUGAAGGGUACAAUUUGGAGGAUGUUUUGGGGUCUCCUAGAAACGGCUGGGGUGGUGGAAUGGAGAACUUGAGUGGUAUUGGGAGGAGCUAGUUUCGAUUAGGUAUAUUUUCAUGCAUCAUCUCUUGUUGAGUAUAUAUUCAUAUUCUUUGUAGUAAUAAGAUGAUUUCUACCCUCCUAGUGCAGUGGUUUAGGACAUUCAUUUUGCCUUUUUUGGAUUGUCUUGUAGGAAUAAUUUCUGUAUAAUUUACGUCUAAUAAAGUUGGAUCUUGUUUAAUUUUGUGGAUUUUUAAAAUAAGCCGAUUCUGAGCCUAGCCCACUUACACGCCAAUCAUUUUAUGCAAUCUAGUCAUCGACAAGAUGUGAUCGUCAAUUCAUGAUAAAGAUCAAUCUAGUCAUUGAGCAAUUAUUGUGAACCGGCCUAGGGAAUCAAUUUGCUCCAAAUUAUGUUCAUCAUAAAUCAAAAUUCUUCAUCAAUUCUAUGUAGUUAUGUGGAAAAACUAUGCCAGUGUCUGAUUAUCAUUAACCAUCUAAUCACUAGAUGAACUAUUUUUGACUGGACUGAUAGAUUUUAUGAUUGCUUUUUGCAAUCUGGUUAUUCAUCACCUGCUGAGCCUGGAAUCAUAGAAGACCCGGACAUUCUGUAGCAGCAGUAAGCACUCCUGUUACAGCAAUCAUAAAAUUAACCUUUUUGGGUUUUAACCAAAGUAAUUUCCCUGUUCUAGUUUUGCCAAUCUCCUCAUGAGCAAUCUGCAGUUCUUGGUUUUUAGUUCUGUAAUUACAGUUGGAGGAGUGAUAGGUUCAUUAGUAAUGGAAAGAUGAUAGAUCUCAUUCGUUUUGUAGGUUCUUCUUUUGCCCUUUAAACUCUCUCUUGGCGCAGAGUAAACUUUCAACACAAUCUUGAAUCAACUUUUCAAUUUGUUAAACUUGCAAUGGAGACUAUGUGGGUAUCAGAAUUUUUCUGCAUCAUUGGGUGGUUUGCUGUAGCAUUUGCAUGGGUUUGUUCUCUUUUCUUCCUUUACCUUCCCCACGAUUAUGCUUCACUACAAAGCUAUGGAGUUAACUUUAAAAUGUUUAUCAAAAGGUUGUUGGAUCUUGAAAACUUUUAAUUGGAAUUGGAAUAGGGAUUAUUGCUUAUGUGGUAAUAAUACUAUCUUCCAACAUGCUUGAUGAAUUCAGCCCUGCAAAAGUUUAUGUAUGUGAGAAUAAUUCUUUGCGUAACAUUUUAAUUUGUUUUCUUAUUGCAAGCAGGUAUCAGUAUAUAUUGCAGAAAUAACACCUAAGAACAUUUGUGAAGGAUUUACUGCUGCUAACAGGUAUUACACUGCCACCAUGACUUUGAUUGUACUAUUAAUUUUAUCCUAUCAACUCAUUCUUCUUGCAUCUGUGUUUUGUCAGUUGUACAGUUCAUCCUAGGCUGUGGGAUUUCACUAGUAUGUUUCACUGUAACUGUUGUUUCCUGGCGCAUUUUGGCUCUAAUCAGUAAAAUCUCGUUGCCCUAUAUUUGAAUAUUUGUGUUGGUAAGUAUGAAGAUCCUGUAUGUAGCUAUUUGAAGAAUCAAACAAAUCUGGUGAUACUCAUACGUAUAGUUUUUGGCCUAUUGUUGAGUCCAAGCAAUUUCUGAUGCUAUAAGUAAAAUAAUAAAUUCUCUAACCUCUCCAGCCAUACAUUAUGCGGAUUAAGGUUAGAAGCCCACAACACAAGCUAUCCAAACCCAAUAUUUCAUCCAAACAUACUGUAAAAAUAUAUUUUUAAAUUUUUUUUUGUCACUUGUGAAUUGUUUAGAUUCUAGUAUACCCGAGUAUAUUGAAAAACACACCCUCUGCCUCAACUCUGCUAA